CCUACGGGAGGCAGCAGUGAGGAAUAUUGGUCAAUGGGCGGGAGCCUGAACCAGCCAAGCCGCGUGAGGGAAGAAGGUACAGCGUAUCGUAAACCUCUUUUGUCAGGGAACAAAGGCGGGGACUAGUCCACGGAUGAGGGUACCUGAAGAAAAAGCAUCGGCUAACUCCGUGCCAGCAGCCGCGGUAAUACGGAGGAUGCGAGCGUGAUCCGGAUUGAUGGGGUUAAACGGGUGCGCAGGGGGCCGGUUAAGUCAGCGGUAAAAGCCCGGGGCUCAACCCCGGCGAGCCGUUGAAACUGGCGGGCUGGAGUUGGAGAGAGGUACGCGGAAUGCGCGGUGUAGCGGUGAAAUGCUUAGAUAUCGCGCAGAACACCGAUUGCGAAGGCAGCGUACCGGCUCCACACUGACGCUGAGGCACGAAAGCGUGGGUAUCGAACAGGAUUAGAUACCCCUGUAGUC
rnacentral:rRNA from 1 species